UGUAAGCGUAUACCAAAGUUGUUGCAGUUAAAACGCUCGUAGUCGGAAUUUGGCAGUUCCGGAUGUGUGCACGUCGUGUGCGCACUUCGCGGGGAUUGCUUUUGUGGUCUUGCGUAGGAUGAGGCACUUUUAUUAGUGAACGUCCUCACGCAACCACUUUUUACUGUGAGAAAAUCAGAGUGCUCAAAGCAGGCAUUUGCCGUGAAUGUAUUAGCAUGGAAUAAUAGAAUAGGACUUGGUUCUAUUUUGUCGGUUUGUUGGGACUGAGUAAUGAUUAAGAGGGACAGUUGGGGGCAUUUGUAUUUCGGUGCUAGAGGUGAAAUUCUUAGAUUACCGAAAGACAAACUGCUGCGAAAGCGUCUGCCAAGGAUGUUUUCAUUGA
rnacentral:rRNA from 1 species